rnacentral:rRNA from 1 species
CGGGUGCACCAGGCGCGAAAACUUUACAAUGCUGGAAACAGCGAUAAGGGGACCUCGAGUGCCAGGUUACAAAUCUGGCUGUCGUGAUGCCUAAAAAGCAUUGCAUAGCAAGGGCCGGGCAAGACCGGUGCCAGCCGCCGCGGUAACACCGGCGGCUCGAGUGGUAACCGUUAUUAUUGGGUCUAAAGGGUCUGUAGCCGGCCGGAUAAGUCUCUUGAGAAAUCCAGCAGCUCAACUGUUGGGCUUUCAGGAGAUACUGUCUGGCUCGAGGCCGGGAGAGGUGAGAGGUACUUCAGGGGUAGGGGUGAAAUCUUGUAAUCCUUGAAGGACCACCAGUGGCGAAGGCGUCUCACCAGAACGGACCUGACGGCAAGGGACGAAAGCUAGGGGCACGAACCGGAUUAGAUACCCGGGUAGUCCUAGCCGUAAACGAUACUCGCUAGGUGUCGGCCACGGCGCGACCGUUGUCGGUGCCGUAGGGAAGCCGUGAAGCGAGCCACCUGGGAAGUACGGCCGCAAGGCUGAAACUUAAAGGAAUUGGCGGGGGAGCACAAGGGCGAAUCG